rnacentral:rRNA from 1 species
GAUGCCCUGGCAGUCAGAGGCGAUGAAGGACGUGCUAAUCUGCGAUAAGCGUCGGUAAGGUGAUAUGAACCGUUAUAACCGGCGAUUUCCGAAUGGGGAAACCCAGUGUGUUUCGACACACUAUCAUUAACUGAAUCCAUAGGUUAAUGAGGCGAACCGGGGGAACUGAAACAUCUAAGUACCCCGAGGAAAAGAAAUCAACCGAGAUUCCCCCAG